GGACCCGCACAAGCGGUGGAGUAUGUGGUUUAAUUCGAUGCAACGCGAAGAACCUUACCAGGGUUUGACAUCCUGCGAAUCUCUUGGAAACUUGAGAGUGCCUUCGGGAGCGCAGUGACAGGUGGUGCAUGGCUGUCGUCAGCUCGUGUCGUGCAGAUGUUGGUUAAGUCCCAGCAACGAGCGCAACCCACGUCUUUAGUUGCCAGCAUUUAGUUGGGCACUCUAGAGAGACCGCCGGUGAUAAACCGGAGGAAGGUGUGGAUGACGUCAAGUCAUCAUGCCCCUUACAUCCUGGGCUACACACGUACUACAAUGGUCGGUACAAAGGGCAGCGAAGCCGCGAGGUGGAGCGAA
rnacentral:rRNA from 1 species